GGCGCGGGCAUUUGCUUUGCUUUGUCUUCAAGUUAUAAACUUGAUUGUUUAAUUUCUUUGAAAUGUUGCUGAUUUUGCGCAUUUUUUGCUGAAAUUCACUCUGGUCGGAUACAAAUAAUUAAGUAAAAUUAACAGCGACAGUUCCACACUUCUUAUAGGUUCUGUUUCUUCUUUUUUUUUGUCGGGAGAAUUUUUUGUUCGGCUUUACAUAUAUCAUAUCUCUUCUUCAUCUCUCAGCUUCAUCACAACGAAAGACUGUAUACAAAAAUUGAAUGACCAGUAGUCGGGCGGCGAGCAAACCUCGUUUUAUCACGUAACUGGAACUACUAAAACGAUUUCAUUUGAAUGAUUUGCCAGCGGCAGAAAUAAAUCUCACGAUUCAAAUAGUCUGGAUUUUUCAGAGAAAAACGAUUUUUCUCCAUUCUAAGCGGAUAAAAAUGCGACAGAUCGUAAACACAUUUUGCAGAGAUCGUUUUUCAUUGGGUUAAUUGAGUCGAGAGAGUGUAAAAAGGGCAUUUUUUUUUUAGAUCAAAACAGUUAAUUGGAGUUUUGUUAGAUGUGUGUACGUUUUAUUUUACCUUGUUAGGUGUCGAUAAAAUUUUGUUGUUGUUUGUUUAAUUAAAACGUCAUGUUGGCAUUUUUGUUUUUGUUAAAUGGUAAUAAUAUACGCAUUAGACUACUAACGACAUAAAUAAUUGACAAUGCAAAUAAUGAUGUAUGAUAGAAAUAAACAAACGCUGGUUUAUUUCACUGAAAUUGAAACUUACAUUAUGUUCCGGUCACCGAAUCGCGCUGUUUUUUGCGACACACCAAUUGAAUGGAUAAUUAGCGGUAAAUAGACUAAAUUAAGUCAAGCAAUUGUACACUAUCAAGUGGCACACUGAAAUACAAUCGUGAAUCCGUGGUUCCCUUUUGUGUGGUUUUCUUUUGAUCUUUGGCUAUAUUUUUCUUAUUUUUUUUUCUUCUUUCUUUUGUUUCACUCAGCACUCAAUUUAAAAUCAAAGUGAUGCGAGAUGAGGAGAAUAAUGUGCAAAAAAAAGAACAAAACUUGUUUUUUUUU